rnacentral:rRNA from 1 species
AUUGAACGCUGGCGGCAGGCCUAACACAUGCAAGUCGAGCGAGCGGCGGACGGGUGAGUAAUGUCUGGGAAACUGCCUGAUGGUGGGGUAUCACUACUGUAAACGGUAGCUAAUACCGCAUACCAUCAGAUGUGCCCAGCUGUGAUUAGCUAGUAGGUGGGGUAACGGCUCACCUAGGCGACGGUCCCUAGCUGGUCUGAGAGGAUGACCAGGCACACGGGAACGGAGACACGGUCCAGACGCCUGCGGGAGGAAGCAGUGGGGAAUAUUGCGCAAUGGGCGCAAGCCUGAUGCAGCCAUGCGGAGUGUGUGAAGAGGGCCUUCGGGUUGUAAAGCACUUUCAGCGGGGAGGCGUUACCCGAAGAAGAAGCACCGGCUAACUCCGUGCCAGCAGCCGCGGUAAUUC